GAUGAACGCUGGCGGCGUGCCUAAUACAUGCAAGUCGAGCGAACAGACGAGGAGCUUGCUCCUCUGACGUUAGCGGCGGACGGGUGAGUAACACGUGGAUAACCUACCUAUAAGACUGGGAUAACUUCGGGAAACCGGAGCUAAUACCGGAUAAUAUAUUGAACCGCAUGGUUCAAUAGUGAAAGACGGUUUUGCUGUCACUUAUAGAUGGAUCCGCGCCGCAUUAGCUAGUUGGUAAGGUAACGGCUUACCAAGGCAACGAUGCGUAGCCGACCUGAGAGGGUGAUCGGCCACACUGGAACUGAGACACGGUCCAGACUCCUACGGGAGGCAGCAGUAGGGAAUCUUCCGCAAUGGGCGAAAGCCUGACGGAGCAACGCCGCGUGAGUGAUGAAGGUCUUCGGAUCGUAAAACUCUGUUAUUAGGAAAGAACAAAGGUGUAAGUAACUAUGCACGUCUUGACGGUACCUAAUCAGAAAGCCACGGCUAACUACGU
rnacentral:rRNA from 1 species